UACGAAGGGGGCUAGCGUUGCUCGGAAUCACUGGGCGUAAAGCGCACGUAGGCGGAUUCCUAAGUCGGGGGUGAAAUCCUGGAGCUUAACUCCAGAACUGCCUUCGAUACUGGGAAUCUUGAGUCCGGAAGAGGUGAGUGGAACUGCGAGUGUAGAGGUGAAAUUCGUAGAUAUUCGCAAGAACACCAGUGGCGAAGGCGGCUCACUGGUCCGGUACUGACGCUGAGGUGCGAAAGCCAGGGGAGCGAACGGG
rnacentral:rRNA from 1 species